rnacentral:rRNA from 1 species
UGAUGGGUAGCCGGCCUGAGAGGGUGAACGGCCACAAGGGGACUGAGACACGGCCCUUACUCCUACGGGAGGCAGCAGUGGGGAAUAUUGGACAAUGGACCAAAAGUCUGAUCCAGCAAUUCUGUGUGCACGAUGAAGUUUUUCGGAAUGUAAAGUGCUUUCAGUUGGGAAGAAGUCAGUGACGGUACCAACAGAAGAAGCGACGGCUAAAUACGUGCCAGCAGCCGCGGUAAUACGUAUGUCGCAAGCGUUAUCCGGAUUUAUUGGGCGUAAAGCGCGUCUAGGCGGUUUAGUAAGUCUGAUGUGAAAAUGCGGGGCUCAACCCCGUAUUGCGUUGGAAACUGCUAAACUAGAGUACUGGAGAGGUAGGCGGAACUACAAGUGUAGAGGUGAAAUUCGUAGAUAUUUGUAGGAAUGCCGAUGGGGAAGCCAGCCUACUGGACAGAUACUGACGCUAAAGCGCGAAAGCGUGGGUAGCAAACAGGAUUAGAUACCCUGGUAGUCCACGCCGUAAACGAUGAUUACUAGGUGUUGGGGGUCGAACCUCAGCGCCCAA